CUAGUUUGUUGCCCAAACUAUCGAAUUGUCGGAACCAACUGCGAAGAAUGUUGGGCCGGAUCUCGAGGAGUAGACUGUAAAGAAGAUUGUGCUCCUGGGUUUUAUGGAAGACUCUGUAGAGAAAAAUGUGCGUGUGAUCCAUGUGAUAAAGUCAAAGGAUGUGAAAAUGUUCCAACAGAAUACAUGUACUACAGAUCAACGGUGAUGAAUAGUGUUGGCGCAUCACAAAGCCAAGGAAUAUGUUCGAACAUGUCAAAUGGAGAACCGCUAGUUUGUUGCCCAAACUAUCGAAUUGUCGGGACCAACUGCGAAGAAUGUUGGGCCGGAUCUCGAGGAGUAGACUGUAAAGAAGACUGUGCUCCUGGGUUUUAUGGAAGACUCUGUAGAGAAAAAUGUGCGUGUGAUCCAUGUGAUAAAGUCAAAGGAUGUGAAAAUGUUCCAACAGAAUACAUGUACUACAGAUCAACGGGUAUGUAUAUAUUUUUCUUAUUCCGGUGAAAGUAUGAAGGCUUUGGAAAUUUCUAUCUAUAAGUUACAAUUUUUGAGGAAUCGCUUUAAAAUGAGCUACAUUUAACAGCUGGAAAUAAGAAUUUAACCAAGUAAAAUAUUUCAUGUUCUAUAUAUUUUAUGGCAAAUAUAUUUUCUCCUUUUAUGUUCUGAAUAUUGUUAACAAUAGGGUAAUCACAGAUCUGUUUGUAAGACUAAGAGAUAAUGCGAUUAGAUACAUGUAAAAAAAAUAUGAAAUACGAUAUUAUGCAUUGUAAGGCUAUAAGCAGUUUUCGAGUUUAUAUUAGCGUAUAAGUGUAACUAGAUGUGUUAUCCACACAGUCAGGCGUUUAAAUACAUCGUCAAACAACAUUUGCAAUGUUGCCGUUUUUGCAAAAUAUAAGAGAACAUAAUCUUUAUGUUAGAACGGCAUUGUAAAAGGGAAUAAAUGUCACCGAUUUUCUUGAUACGUUGUGUACGUCGACAAAUUAGCUGAUAUAUAUUAGCGCAGCCACGAUUGUUAUUUUAUUACUAUUCAAAUUAUCCAAUGACGGUAAGUCGAGCAUUAUUUUUUUCGGUUAUAUAUAUGGUUUUACCAACGGAAUACAUUUGGGCCUCAAGAUC